CCUACGGGAGGCUGCAGUGGGGAAUAUUGCACAAUGGGCGCAAGCCUGAUGCAGCCAUGCCGCGUGUGUGAAGAAGGCCUUCGGGUUGUAAAGCACUUUCAGCGGGGAGGAAGGCGGUGAGGUUAAUAACCUCAUCGAUUGACGUUACCCGCAGAAGAAGCACCGGCUAACUCCGUGCCAGCAGCCGCGGUAAUACGGAGGGUGUAAGCGUUAAGCGGAAUUACUGGGCGUAAAGCGCACGCAGGCGGUCUGUCAAGUCGGAUGUGAAAUCCCCGGGCUCAACCUGGGAACUGCAUUCGAAACUGGCAGGCUAGAGUCUUGUAGAGGGGGGUAGAAUUCCAGGUGUAGCGGUGAAAUGCGUAGAGAUCUGGAGGAAUACCGGGGGCGAAGGCGGCCCCCGGGACAAAGACUGACGCUCAGGUGCGAAAGCGGGGGAGCAAACAGGAUUAGAUACCCUGGUAGUC
rnacentral:rRNA from 1 species